ensembl:misc_RNA Metazoa_SRP Metazoan signal recognition particle RNA
GCUGGGCAUGGUGGUACACGCCUGCAGUCCCAGCUACUCAGGAGGCUGAGGUGGGAGGAUCACUUGAGCCCAGGAGUUUCUGGGCUGUAGUGCGCUAUGCCGAUCGAGUGUCCACACUUAAGUUCAGCAUCAAUAUGGUGACCUCCCGGGAGCGGGAGAUCACCAGGUUGCUUAAGGAGGGGUGAACUGGCCCAUGUCAGAAAUGGAGCAGGUCAAAACUCCCGUGCUGAUCUGCUAGUAGUGGGAUCACGCCUGUGAAUAGCCACUGCACUCCAGCCUGAGCAACAUAGUGAGACUCCCAUCUCU